rfam:Anopheles gambiae str. PEST chromosome X, whole genome shotgun sequence.
AAAAGAAGUGGAGCUUGCGGCUUAAUUUGACUCAAAACUUGAAAACUUACCAGGUCCGAACUUAUUGAGGUAAGACAGAUUGAUAGUUCUUUCUCAAACUUAAGGGUAGUGGUGCAUGGCCGUUCUAAGUUCGUGGAAUGAUUUGUCUGGUUAAUUCCGGUAACGAACGCGACUCAGUCAAGCUAACUAGAACGCUGUCAGUAGUGUGCCUCCGGGCGCACCUGACGUUAGGAGUGGCGGGUGUCCUCACGGCUGCCCGUCACUUAGUUUGCCCUGCUUAGCGGGACAACUUGUGUUUAGCAAGAUGAGAUUGAGCGAUAACAGGUCCGUGAUGCCCUUAGAUGUUCUGGGCUGCACGCGUGCUACAAUGUGAGCAGCAGCGUGUUCUCGCCUUAUGGCGCCCCCAUUCCGAGAGGAACGGGAAAUCACCCAAAUGCUCAUUUAGUAGGAAUUGGGGACUGCAAUGGUCCCCAUGAACCUGGAAUUUCUAGUAAGUGCUAGUCAUUAGCUAGCGCUAAUUACGUCCC